rnacentral:piRNA from 1 species
UGACAGUAGUCACAAGAAUAUCGGGUCACA